rnacentral:rRNA from 1 species
GAGUUUGAUCAUGGCUCAGGAUGAACGCUAGCGGCAGGCCUAACACAUGCAAGUCGAGGGGGAGGUUACUUUCGGGUAACUGAGACCGGCGUACGGGUGCGUAACGCGUAUACAAUCUGCCUUUCACUGGGGGAUAGCCCGAAGAAAUUUGGAUUAAUACCCCAUAGUAUAUAGAGACGGCAUCGUUUUUAUAUUAAAGCUUAGGUGGUGAAAGAUGAGUAUGCGUUCUAUUAGCUAGUUGGAGAGGUAACGGCUCCCCAAGGCGAUGAUAGAUAGGGGUUCUGAGAGGGAUGUCCCCCACACUGGUACUGAGAUACGGACCAGACUCCUACGGGAGGCAGCAGUAGGGAAUAUUGCGCAAUGGGGGAAACCCUGACGCAGCAACGCCGCGUGGAGGAUGACACUUUUCGGAGCGUAAACUCCUUUUGUUAGGGAAGAAUAAUGACGGUACCUAACGAAUAAGCACCGGCUAACUCCGUGCCAGCAGCCGCGGUAAUACGGAGGGUGCAAGCGUUACUCGGAAUCACUGGGCGUAAAGGACGCGUAGGCGGAUUAUCAAGUCUCUUGUGAAAUCUAACGGCUUAACCGUUAAACUGCUUGGGAAACUGAUAAUCUAGAGUAAGGGAGAGGCAGAUGGAAUUCUUGGUGUAGGGGUAAAAUCCGUAGAUAUCAAGAAGAAUACCUAUUGCGAAGGCGAUCUGCUGGAACUUAACUGACGCUAAUGCGUGAAAGCGUGGGGAGCAAACAGGAUUAGAUACCCUGGUAGUCCACGCUGUAAACGAUGUAUACCGGUUGUUGCUGUGCUAGUCACGGCAGUAAUCCACCUAACGGAUUAAGUAUACCGCCUGGGGAGUACGGUCGCAAGAUUAAAACUCAAAGGAAUAGACGGGGACCCGCACAAGCGGUGGAGCAUGUGGUUUAAUUCGAAGAUACGCGAAGAACCUUACCCGGACUUGAUAUCUAACAAAUCAUCCAGAGAUGGAAGAGUGUCUGCUUGCAGAAAUGUUAAGACAGGUGCUGCACGGCUGUCGUCAGCUCGUGUCGUGAGAUGUUGGGUUAAGUCCCGCAACGAGCGCAACCCACGUCAUUAGUUGCUAACGGUUCGGCCGAGCACUCUAAUGAGACUGCCUUCGUAAGGAGGAGGAAGGUGUGGACGACGUCAAGUCAUCAUGGCCCUUAUGUCCGGGGCGACACACGUGCUACAAUGGCAUAUACAAUAAGACGCAAUAUCGUAAGAUGGAGCAAAUCUAAAAAAUAUGUCCCAGUUCGGAUUGGAGUCUGCAACUCGACUCCAUGAAGCCGGAAUCGCUAGUAAUCGUAGAUCAGCCAUGCUACGGUGAAUACGUUCCCGGGUCUUGUACACACCGCCCGUCA